CAAAUUAUAGGCGUUUAAUAUAACCAAUCAACUUUUGGAACAAAUGUACAAUCCAAGUUCCUACAGUUUUCAGGGAAAAGGUGUAAGGCAGUAGUAUGCAUAUAGUCUAAAAGAUUUUGUUUAUUUAACGUGGAAUAGUGAAUUGGACAAUUGUGGCACAUUGCUAAAAUAAAUUUGAUAGCACAUUUGAAUUAUACAUGUAUUAUUCUUAUCAACCAUGUUGUUCUCACAAUAUGUUUUGAGUCAGAACAGACAGGUACUUAAACAAGAAGUGAUCCUACAGUGUAACAAACACAAGCCAAUUCAUAAGGAAUGGAUAUAUUUGCAAUCUGCAAAAUAUUGAAGUCAAAUAUCUGUAUCGUUUGCCCUUUGAAUGAUUAUUUGGUUUGGCCAUCGAAAUCAAAAACCUAUUACUUGAGCUUCCACUACGAAAGCCAGUGUAUUUAAUAAUUUUCAUGUCCCAGCCUUAGAAAGCCAAUCAGAUUAAAGUGUGAAUCGGUCUUCCUAUUCUUGUAACGUUCAUUGUCCUUUAACGUUUUACAAGCGCAAUUUAAUCAAGCUUCAAUCGAAAGCCGGAUAGGAAGAUUCAGUUGCUCCUGGAAGAGUUAGAACCAAAUGUUAUCUGUUGAAUGUGAAACCUUGUCUAUCAAAAUAUCUCUUAUGUUUGCUUAGCUCGGUUUGUGUUUAUAACCUGCAAAUAGCGGGGCCUUGAAGUCGAUUUGAUUGGAUUUGAAUGAUUGUGAUAGUUUGUAAACGACGGCACGGCGGGGGAUUGCACGGGCACGGGGGGGGGGUAACUCGGGGGUACGGGGGGGAAAGGCAUAGUUCAGUGGAGACUCCCCACGGAGGGGGCACGUUGUAGGCAGCCGGUGGAUAGAGGUGUGGUGAGAACGGGGCUGGUGCCGAGAAGGGGAUGGGAGGUGCGAAGGGGGGGGGGUGAGAAGGGGGUGGAGGGGUAACUUGGCGUCAGAGCUUGUGGUUGAGGUAAGUGAUAGGAGUUGUUCGGUGCAAACGACUGAAGUGCGGCAAUGCUCUGCGGGCCCGCUCUGUCGUCGUCAUAGUUUCUAACGGGGGCUAUGUUGCACACACUGGCCGCCGGGGUGGUCUCAGGGGCGUUCACCGGAGCCGCUAACGAGUCGAUCUUCAGAGAGUUGUGUUUUGUGACAGGAGGUCCAAAGCUAGAUCUGCUCGACGAGGAGGAUCUGCUGUUGCCUCCGGGAGAGAACAUCUGCCUCGUCUCUCUCCUCGUCUCCUUUUCGGACUCCCUUCUCUCUCGGUCCUCCUUGUUGCCGUACAACCGCAGCUGGAUCCGGUUGGACAUUUUCCCCAGCUCGUCCAGUCCCAGGUCCAUCCCGAUAGUCUGAAACAAAUGCUGCAUCUCUUUGCACUUCUGCUCCUCCUCCUGCGUCACUUUCCCCUCGACCACUGCUUGCGUUGGGGUCAAUCUAGUGCCAGCCUUGCCAUGAGGGACGCCAGACGUUUCAAUAGAUAUUAGAGUGUUUUCACUGGGUUGCUUACUCUGCUGUUGUUGGGGUUCAUGGUUCUUAUUCCAGUACACUGCGUUUUGGUGCGUGUCCUGCUUCCCAGGGCCUCUGUGAGAUCCAAGUAGAUCUGCAGCGUUCCGAAGAUCGGCAGCGUUCCGAAGAUCGGCAGCGUUCCGAUGAUCGGCAGCGUUCCGAUGAUCGGCAGCGUUCCGAUGAUCGGCAGCGUUCCGAUGAUCGACAGCGUUCCGAUGAUCUGCAGUGUUCCGAGGAUCAGGAGCCGUUCGAAGAUCGGCAGCGUUCGGGAUCGGCAGCGUUCGGGAUCGGCAAUGUUCCGAAGAUCAGGAGCGUUCCGAAGAUCAGGUGCGUUCCGAAGAUCAGGAGCGUUCCGAAGAUCAGGAGCGUUCCGAAGAUCAGCGACGUUCCGAAGGUCAGCAACGUUCCGUAGAUCUGCAGUGUUCCGAAGAACGGCAGCGUUCCGAAGACCGGCAGUGUUCCUGGGAUCAGCAGCGUUCCGUGGAUCAGGAAAACUGGGAGCCUGACUGACUAUCUUGUUGAGCAUGUUGACGUCCACCCCUUUGUUGAGCACACUGAGGAAACGCUGGAAGCCAUUGCUCCUGGGUGACUGCUCAGGAACACUUUUAACAGGAGCAGGGCUGUGAUUGGUGGAGUUAGGUUCCGCCUUUGAGAAAGAAAGCAAUACAAAUUUGCAUGAGUUGCAACACGUAUCUUUCAUAAAUAUCCACUGGGCUUCAUGUGCAAGUGUGUCUCGUAUGCAGUACCAAUAUAAUGUUGUGCAUAGAAAGUAAUGCGAAACAAUUUGGAGAAUUUCAAGGAUAAGAUCUCGCAUCAUUCAAACUUGCACAAAAGGCCUACCCUUUUGCCGACGUCAGUCACUGGGAAGCCACUGCUGGGCUGCCAAGGAUUAUAGUUCAGAGGGGAAGUGGAUUCAUUUUGGUCUCGUGUUGCAUCAUACACCUGGUCAGAAGGAGGACAAAAAAUAGAUUAUUUGUAAAAAAAAUCAAACUGAAGUAUGAGUCAUCCUAAAUAAUCAACCAUCUAAGCAGUCUCUUCUUAAAGGCCUAAAGUAUUGGAUUGGAAUAAAUUGGAUUUAUCAUGUUGUGAAAAUGUAGCACUUGCAGUAGAUGGCUUAUCUGAUGAACUGCAUGUAGCCACAUGAUUAUUAGCAUUUCCGGGUUGCAUCUUUACUGUUGAAUCCCCUUAAUACAAGUCGUUUUGGAUACAAG
ensembl:lncRNA